rnacentral:rRNA from 6 species
UUAAAUUGAAGAGUUUGAUCAUGGCUCAGAUUGAACGCUGGCGGCAGGCCUAACACAUGCAAGUCGAACGGUAACAGGAAGCAGCUUGCUGCUUUGCUGACGAGUGGCGGACGGGUGAGUAAUGUCUGGGAAACUGCCUGAUGGAGG